rnacentral:rRNA from 1 species
ACGGGAGGCAGCAGCAAGGAAUUUUCCCCAAUGGGCGCAAGCUGAGGGAGCAACGCCGCGUGGAGGACGACGGCCUUCGGGUUGUAAACUCCUUUCGGGUGGGACGACCGCGACGGUACCACCAGAAGCAGCCCCGGCUAACUCUGUGCCAGCAGCCGCGGUAAGACAGAGGGGGCAAGCGUUGUCCGGAGUUACUGGGCGUAAAGGGCGCGGAGGCGGUCUGCGGCGUCGGCGCUGAAAGCCCCGCUUAACGGGGCGAGGCGUGCCGAUACGCGCAGACUUGAGGCGAGCAGAGGGUGGUGGAAUUCCGGGUGGAGCGGUGAAAUGCGUAGAGAUCCGGAGGAACGCCAGUGGGGAAGCCGGCCACCUGGGCUCGUCCUGACGCUGCGGCGCGACAGCGUGGGGAGCAAACCGGAUUAGAUACCCGGGUAGUCCACGCCGUAAACGCUGCCGGCUCGGUGACUGGGCGCCUGUGAAGCGCUGGGCGCUUAGCUCACGCGGGAAGCCGGCCGCCUGGGGAGUACGAGCGCAAGCUUAAAACUCAAAGGAAUUGACGGGGGCCGCACAAGCAGCGGAGCGUGUGGUUUAAUUCGACGCAACGCGAAGCACCUUACCCAGGCUUGACAUGCCGCUGCAACCGUCGGAAACGGCGCUGCCUUCGAGGGUGCGGCACCGGUGCUGCAUGGCUGUCGUCAGCCCGUGCCGUGAGAUGUUGGGUUAAGUCCCGCAACGAGCGCAACCCGCGUCGGCAGUUACCCGUGUCUGCCGAGACAGCCGCCGUGAUGGGCGGAGGAAGGCGCGGAUGACGUCAAGUCAGCAUGGCCCUUACGUCCAGGGCGACACACACGCUACAAUGGCCACGACAAUGCGUUGCCAAGCCGCAAGGCGGAGCUAAUCGCUUAAACGUGGUCUCAGUGCAGAUCGGGGGCUGCAGCUCGCCCCCGUGAAGGCGGAGUUGCUAGUAACCGCGU